rnacentral:rRNA from 1 species
CAGCCGCCACGGUAAUACGUAGGGUGCAAGCGUUAAUCGGAAUUACUGGGCGUAAAGCGUGCGCAGGCGGUUUGUUAAGACAGAUGUGAAAUCCCCGGGCUCAACCUGGGAACUGCAUUUGUAACUGGCAAGCUAGAGUCUGGCAGAGGGGGGUAGAAUUCCAGGUGUAGCGGUGAAAUGCGUAGAGAUCUGGAGGAAUACCGGUGGCGAAGGCGGCCCCCUGGACAAAGACUGACGCUCAGGUGCGAAAGCGUGGGGAGCAAACAGGAUUAGAUACCCGCGUAGUCCCUGUCUCUUAUAC